AGAACCUGCCGUAUACUGGGGGAUAACACUUAGAAAUAGGUGCUAAUAUCGCAUAAGCGCACAGCUUCGCAUGAAGCAGUGUGGAAAACAAAAAGCUAAAGCUUUUGGUGGUAUACGAUGGAUCCGCGUCUGAUUAGCUAGUUGGCGGGGUAAAGCCCACCAAGGCGACGAUCAGUAGCCGGCCUGAGAGGGUGAACGGCCACAUUGGGACUGAGACACGGCCCAAACUCCUACGGAAGGCAGCAG
rnacentral:rRNA from 1 species